rnacentral:rRNA from 1 species
GACGAACGCUGGCGGCGUGCUUAACACGUGCAAGUCGAACGAUGAAGCCGGAGCUUGCUCUGGUGAAUUAGUGGCGAACGGGUGAGUAACACGUGAGUAACCUGCCCUUGACUCUGGGAUAACUGCUAGAAAUGGUAGCUAAUACCGGAUACGACCCUCGGAGGCAUCUUCAGGGGGUGGAAAGAAUUUCGGUCAAGGAUGGACUCGCGGCCUAUCAGCUAGUUGGUGAGGUAAUGGCUCACCAAGGCGACGACGGGUAGCCGGCCUGAGAGGGUGACCGGCCACACUGGGACUGAGACACGGCCCAGACUCCUACGGGAGGCAGCAGUGGGGAAUAUUGCACAAUGGGCGCAAGCCUGAUGCAGCAACGCCGCGUGAGGGAUGACGGCCUUCGGGUUGUAAACCUCUUUUAGUAGGGAAGAAGCGAAAGUGACGGUACCUGCAGAAAAAGCACCGGCUAACUACGUGCCAGCCGCCGCGGUAA